CCCUUAGACGUUCUGGGCCGCACGCGCGCUACACUGACCAGUGCAACAAGCAUCCGUCCUUGGCCGACAGGCCCGGGCAAUCUUUGAACGCUGGUCGUGAUGGGGAUAGACUUUUGCAAUUUUUGGUCUUCAACGAGGAAUUCCUAGUAAACGCAAGUCAUCAACUUGCGUUGAUUACGUCCCUGCCCUUUGUACACACCGCCCGUCGCUCCUACCGAUUGAAUGGUCCGGUGAAGCGUUCGGACCGUGGCCUUUGGACGGUUCGCCGUCUGUUGGCUGCGGGAAGUUCGUUAAACCUUAUCAUUUAGAGGAAGGAGAAGUCGUAACA
rnacentral:rRNA from 1 species